AGCAGCCGCGGUAAUUCCAGCUCCAAUAGCGUAUAUUAAAGUUGUUGCAGUUAAAAAGCUCGUAGUUGAAUUUCGGAAUCUGUCCAUCGGUCGGGCUUCAUUGUCCGUACUGGUGUGGUGGGUUCUUACCUUCUGAAUAACCAGCAUGCCAUUCACUUGGUGCGCUGGGGAAGCAGGACUAUUACCUUGAAAAAUUAGAGUGCUCAAAGCAGGCUAGUGCCUGAAUACAUUAGCAUGGAAUAAUAAAAUAGGACGGCAUGGUUCUAUUUUGUUGGUUUCUAGGAUCACCGUAAUGAUUAAUAGGGAUAGUUGGGGGCAUUAGUAUUCAAUUGUCAGAGGUGAAAUUCUUGGAUUUAUGAAGACUAACUUCUGCGAAAGCAUUUGCCAAGGAUGUUUUCAUUA
rnacentral:rRNA from 1 species